rnacentral:lncRNA from 1 species
GUUUCACUGGUACCCAUUCCGAGAAUAUUAGAGCAAUCCUAAAUCGACCUUCCAACUGUGAGAAGUGACCUCCGUUGAUAGAUCCAUUGUACGUGGGGUUACGACCUGUUCCCUAACAGUCGGUCCAUGGGCUGCCAAGUUGACCUAUUAGCCAUAUUCCUGUAGGUGUAAAGUGCCGAGGGGUCGCGAGAAGAGACUUCCACCGUAUCUCGACUCUUGAUGUGAGAGGUGAUUCCUCCGAUCGUGUCAGGUUCACCAGGCGAUGUGGCCUUGCAGACAAACUCCAACCUCAGGCCUGUGCCUAAGUCAACCAUCAAUACUCGAAUAGAACCGAAUAGUGUCUAUUCGUUCCUUUAAGACCUACCUGGUGAAUUGUCUCCUCCGAAAUAAAGUUAUAUACAGAUAAUAGUGUGGACAAUACUAGCCGUAUCCUAAGAGACUCCAGUCUAUCAACUGGACUGCGUAAUCCACGGCUGCGGUCUAGAAAAGAGAUCCAAAGGGCGUCCAAUCAAGGUCUCAAACUGAACUCGUGUGGUAAACGGUGGUCAACUAUUCUGGGAAUUGUGGAUCCUGGAAAGCUCAAAAGGAUGGGACCGGAAACCGGGGUAGAGAUUUCCAUCCAAAUACAUCGUCCUCUAAGUGCUAAGAUGGCCAGAUCCAAUAGAGUUUAGGACCGUAUAACACAGAAGAGCCCUUACGUGUUGCAGUGAGAGUGUGAGAUACUCUGAUUACCAUUUGUACAAUCCUGUUCCAUGCCCGACCUGUCAAUAUUCGUGUAGGAGUUCCUGGCCUACACGCCACCUACAAGAUAGGGAAUAAUAUAGUGAGACCCCUAGGUUCCUGUCUCAUAGACUGUCCAAGCAUGUAUCUCCCAGUGUAGGUUUCCUUGAUGGUAGUUGAAUAGGAAGGCUAGUGAGAACCCAAAUCAAGAUGGUUCCCGUGAUGGAUAUAGAGUCCGAACACUGUUCUCAAGGUGUGUUCAGAGUUGUAGGAGCAGUCCUGCCAACUUUAUCUCAAGAUUGUAAGGACCAGGGAAGCCAAGUCCUGAGAAUUUCGGUUUCUCCAUGUGAUCCAUGCAUACGGUGCACCUGAAGACCGUUUAUGGGAAUUUUCCAGUCUUGUUACUCAAGCAAGGCAGUGCCCGUUUGCCCUAUGCAGGUCUCAGAAUCUCAUGUCACCCUGACACGGGAGAAUAGUCUGCACAGUUUGUACACAAUGAAUAUCUGAAACAGAGUGCAAUGUCUGUUUGAUAUAGCACAGGUUAUACCAAAACCUGUACUCCUGUAAGAACUGAGGCUCCUCCUUAGCCGUACUGUCUCCCAGAAUGUGUGUACAUAAGUGGGAAACCUCCCCCACUAAUACCUCUGAGGGCAUUUCUCACGUGGAUUACAAGAUGAAUCCAGACAAACUAUGUAUACCUUGCCCGAUCAGGUAGCCCGCUAGAACGAAAUCAGUAGCGCGGUCAUCAUAUUUAAACUGGAUGUAGGAGGGACGCCCCUCUAUGCGGUCAUAGUUGACCUGUACAGGUACAAGCCUGUGUGAGGAACAAAUGGACGGCACCAUAGUGCGUUGAGUGUAUGAGAGAGUCGCACUCUGUAAAAUGUGAUCGCACUCUGAGUCCGCGCACGGUUGGUGGUAUGAGCGGGCCGCACCCGUUAGACGUCAAACUUAGAGUCUACCUCUGUGUCCAGUUCCUUCUAUGAGAAUGAGUCACUCGGAGCAUGUCCUCUAUAUCCAGCUCAGUAUCGGGCCGAGGUUGAGGGAGGGCCACGCCCUCUAAUAAUGAAUCCGUGUCUGAUUCAGUAAAUGAGAGGGGUUCGCCCUCUACUCUUGAAAAUAAAAAUAUCAGUCUCGGACCGAGGUGAAGGAGGGCCGCACCCUCUGUAAUCCAAACCAGAGUCCAGUAGAGACUCAGGGUGACCAAACGUGGGGUACACCCUUAUUUAAUAUAAGCAAAGUAUACAACCUCGGGCAGUGUCCGACCUUAAGAGAAAGGAGUGAUGAGAAAAGUACGUUUCGGAGCUGAAGAUGGUAACUAUCAACGGACCGCCCGGAUCCCGUGCGUUCGGGCUCCAGGAUGACCGUCGGUAGUCUGAGGAAAGCUGGAGACGUUCUCCGCAAUCCACAAGUGCCCGGGAGGUCGGAGGAGGUCAAGUCAGGCCUCUCGACGACCCGAGCAAUAGGACAAUAGAAGGCACGAAAACAAAGAAACGACCAAUGUAAAGUGGAAAAUACGUACCUCGGAAAGCAGGUCGGAUAGCAGAACUGGAAAAAACGAAUCACGUGAAUCCAGUCAAAGAGGUCAGGAGCUAAACGUGACAUAGAAAAACACUACCAAUACCUAAUAUAGCGUCUGAGCACUGUUCCCUGCUUGUGCGAAAUUCCCAUUGGAGAUGUGUCGUCGUUGGGUAUAACCCGUAAUUGCGUGCCCGGGAAUUCUCAGAAAAACUUUGCCAUUCAGGGCAUGAGGUGUAGGGCCUUCACCCCUCCAAUCACAGUUAGAUGUCCAUAUUCUGGUGUCCUCUUGGAUAAUCUGGCAGCAGUGUCUGUCCGGACACCCACCUUUGCUUACUUCAGUGAUUCCCCCAGGUAUGUGGUCCAAAGGGGAGUUCGGGCACAGGUAGAGCAGGCCAAUCUUAUGGCACAGACCGAGCAGGCCAAUCUUAUGGGCACAGACAUAGCAGGCCAAUCUUAUGGGCACAGACAAAGCAGGCCAAUCUUAUGGGCACAGACAUAGCAGGCCAAUCUUGUGGGCACAGACAUAGCAGGCCAAUCUUAUGGGCACAGACAUAGCAGGCCAAUCUUAUGGGCACAGACAUAGCAGGCCAAUCUUACGGGCACAGACAUAGCAGGCCAAUCUUAUGGGCACAGACAUAGCAGGCCCAUUAAUGGGGCACAGACAUAGCAGGCCAAUCCUGGGUUUCAUUUUAAAUGAGUAAUGGGGACCUCUGAGUUUGGCAGAGUCCCCUAAAUAUCUGUAAAUCCUCCGGGUAUCCUGUGACCUAGUACCCUUAGACACUAAUCUUAGACAGCGUACUACUGUGUGAAUAAACCGUAACCGGGACUGGCGGUCCCUAAGUGCCCAGCAGGCAACAUAGAGGUAAAAACCAGUUGUAUAGGGUUUAAGCUGAACAUGUUCCAGUGAGUGUCCAUAAAAUCAAGCUCUGCUGAGCAAUACCUUCUUUAAGGUGCAAAUUGUAAUGCACAUGUACAUACAGCUCCGUAUGAGAUAUCUUAUCUUUAUUGUAGGUCAUCAUCAUCAUACCGCCUGAAGGGUAUUGUACUCAUGGUCUCUUCAGGAGUAGGGCAAAAACAAUUGCCAACUCAAUGACUCUUCCCAAGAAGCCUGAUAAGAUAGAAUAGUAUCGGCC